rnacentral:rRNA from 1 species
CCCUUAGAUGUUCUGGGCUGCACGCGCGCUACACUGACCAGUGCAACAAGCAUCCGUCCUUGGCCGACAGGCCCGGGCAAUCUUUGAACGCUGGUCGUGAUGGGGAUAGACUUUUGCAAUUUUUGGUCUUCAACGAGGAAUUCCUAGUAAACGCAAGUCAUCAACUUGCAUUGAUUACGUCCCUGCCCUUUGUACACACCGCCCGUCGCACCUACCGAUUGAAUGGUCCGGUGAAGCCUCCGGAUUGGCGCGCACCUCGGUGCCGCCGAGAAGUUGGCUAAACCUUACCAUUUAGAGGAAGGUGAANUCGUANCA